rnacentral:rRNA from 1 species
GUAAGGAAUAUUGGUCAAUGGGCGGAAGCCUGAACCAGCCAUGCCGCGUGCAGGAAGACUGCCCUAUGGGUUGUAAACUGCUUUUGUCAGGGGAUAAACCUAUCUACGCGUAGAUAGCUGAAGGUACCUGAAGAAUAAGGAUCGGCUAACUCCGUGCCAGCAGCCGCGGUAAUACGGAGGAUCCGAGCGUUAUCCGGAUUCAUGGGGUUUAAAGGGUGCGCAGGCGGAUUGGUAAGUCAGGGGUGAAAUCCCACAGCUCAACUGUGGAACUGCCUUUGAUACUGUCAGUCUAGAGUAUAGUUGAAGUUGGCGGAAUGUGUCAUGUAGCGGUGAAAUGCUUAGAUAUGACACAGAACACCGAUCGCGAAGGCAGCUAGCUAAGCUAUAACUGACGCUCAUGCACGAAAGCGUGGGGAUCAAACAGGAUUAGAUACCCGAGUAGUCC